UACGGAGGAUGCGAGCGUUAUCCGGAUUUAUUGGGUUUAAAGGGUGCGUAGGCGGAAUAUCAAGUCAGCGGUCAAAGCCCGGGGCUCAACCCCGGCCCGCCGUUGAAACUGGCAGUCUCGAGUUGGAGAGAAGUAUGCGGAAUGCGCGGUGUAGCGGUGAAAUGCAUAGAUAUCGCGCAGAACCCCGAUUGCGAAGGCAGCGUGCCGUGCCGCCACUGACGCUGAGGCACGAAAGCGCGGGGAUCGAACAGG
rnacentral:rRNA from 1 species